CGUCGCCCAUAACCUCCGUGUACAGUUAUACACACAUAAAUAAACAAAAUUUUCCCUCAUGUUUGGUCUACGAGAACCACAAACGCCCAACACCUGUUGCAGCCAAUCUAAAUCACAACCCCUGCAAAGUUGAAUCAGUGGGGUGGUCAUCAUAGGGUUCUUCAAUCGCAACUCGGUAAGCAUUUAGAUUGAAAUUAGGGUUUCUUCUGAUUGCAAUUUUUAUGUUCAAGCCUCCAUCAGUUGGUGCAGUUUAUAACCAGGACGUCUUCCACUAAUUUAGUUCUUCUCCCACGAGUCAAGGUUAGUGAGUUCUUAGCCUGAAAUUAAUUUUUUUUUAUGUCUUCUGAUUCAUUCAUGUUGCUUCUAAUCAUUAUCAUCUUCACCAUCGCGGGACACCACUUGGUAAAGCUAGAGAAACUUCAUUGGCUCUAGGUUAGGCUAAAUGUCAGAUUUUGAGAAGUUUUUAUUCAGUUUAUAUGUUUUACUUCAUAUUUCUGCUACAUUCUGCACUAUUGUUUGAAUUCAUUGGUGUUGCCAAACGGAAUCCAUUUCAAUUUAGUAUGCUUGAACGUUCUCUACGUCAUUGGAAUUGGUCGCAUGAGGUGUCUUCAUCAUCAGCCUGGCAGGUUCAAGAGCAAUUUUAGAGGCAACACCAGUCCGCUCCAGGGAUUCUGAUUUCGAUUACACUUAUGACAGCCAUGACAAACAGGGUGGUUGUUUCAACCUAUUCGAAGGUUAUCUACGGUCCAUGUUACAAUCACAUGCGUGUGUUAUGUAUCACACAUACAUGUCUAUUUUACGAGUAUUCCAAACUUCAUAUUUGAAUGUGGGCAUCGAAGAAGUGUUAGAUCCUUUACAACAUGUUAUGGUCUCAAACCACCGUUUAAAAUAUUAUGCGACGAGGCGUUUAUACACCAUGUUACUGUUAAUCGCGUUAUUCCGGCUGAUACAAUCAUUUCUAACAUUUUAGGUGCUCCAGUAAAAAUACUCACCACCAGGUUCUAUGUAUUUGCUUUAUCAUGUUUUUUUACUAUUUACAACUUUAAUUACAUCUAAAAAUGUUUUUAGGCUUAAAAGUUCUUUCACUCUAUUGGUAAUUCAUUCCUUAGAUGUAUUCUUGCUGAGUUAAAAAAGCCUUGGUGGUCUACUCUGAUUCGUGAUCUUGCGCAUGUAAGAGGAAGAGUGCUAUGGAUCGUCUAGCAGAUGUUAUUGGGGAAAGCAACUCAGGGCAUUUCUUUGUUGUUACUCAAGAUGUUGACUUGCGUAAGAAGUUUCAGGACCUAUUUCAUCUUUUUGAUUCCCGCUGUGCCUGCAAUAUUUGCACUUAGAAUUGCUUUAUUUCUUGAGUCUCAACAACAACUUGCCAAAGCUGUUGAAGGAAACUCACGCUUGAAUAAGUUGUAGAUUAAAAUGCUAAAUCAUAAGAAGAAGAGAAGUUCUGAAACAGGCGAGCAGGCAGAUGAAGCUUUUCCAAAUGAAACCAUUGAAGAUUUAAAGAAAGUUGCUUCUACAAGGAAAAUUAAUGUAAAGGAUAAAUUAUAAUUCAGGAGAAAAGGAGCUAAGGGUCCAAAUCCAGUUUCUUGUAAGAAGAAAAAGGAGAACCAAAAACAAGGGAAAACGUGGAAUAGAUGAGAUGUGCAAGAGAACAAUGGAACUUGCCAGUGAGAGCUCAUACGUGUAUCGAACCAAAGAUGAAGUAACAAAAGUAAAAAAGAAAAUUAGAAGAGUUUUCUUUCAAAAUUUAUGGCAGUAUAUAUUUGGUGAGUAUGAAGCAUGCACCUCCCUUCUUAUGAACAGAGUGAGAGAAGUUGAAGAUAUUGAUGAUGCAAUUUUAUUUUGGUGCUGCUCCACAUCAUCUUCCUACUGUUACUUUAAGUGAGGAUGAUAAAAUGAUAGCUUGAGGCUUGUCCGAUGAGAUGGAUUUCAUCACAAACAAACCAUACACAAAAUGGUGAACUUACCCCUAUAUUGCUCACGGAAGGGCAAUCUUUGUACAUGUAUUAAUACAAUAGUUUUCUCAUUUCUGUUUUUUUUUUCUGU